GGGAAUAUUCCACAAUGAGCGAAAGCUUGAUGGAGCGACACAGCGUGCACGAUGAAGGUCUUCGGAUUGUAAAGUGCUGUUAUAGGGAAAGAACACCUGGUUGAGGAAAUGCUUCCAGGCUGACGGUACCCUGUCAGAAAGCGAUGGCUAACUAUGUGCCAGCAGCCGCGGUAAUACAUAGGUCGCAAGCGUUAUCCGGAAUUAUUGGGCGUAAAGCGUUCGUAGGCUGUUUAUUAAGUCUGGAGUCAAAUCCCAGGGCUCAACCCUGGCUCGCUUUGGAUACUGGUAAACUAGAGUUAGAUAGAGGUAAGCGGAAUUCCAUGUGAAGCGGUGAAAUGCGUAGAUAUAUGGAAGAACACCAAAGGCGAAGGCAGCUUACUGGGUCUAUACUGACGCUGAGGGACGAAAGCGUGGGGAGCAAACAGGAUUAGAUACCCUGGUAGUCCACGCCGUAAACGAUGAUCAUUAGUCGGUGGAGAGUUCACUGACGCAGCUAACGCAUUAAAUGAUCCGCCUGAGUAGUAUGCUCGCAAGAGUGAAACUUAAAGGAAUUGACGGGGACCCGCACAAGCGGUGGAGCAUGUGGUUUAAUUUGAAGAUACGCGGAGAACCUUACCCACUCUUGACAUCCUU
rnacentral:rRNA from 2 species